AAGCUCUUGAUGGAGAAGCAGGGCACGUGCAGUUCACAAAUUCUAAUCUGCUCUGCACGUGCUCCCCUUCUCCAACAUGGGUUC
rnacentral:pre_miRNA from 11 species